CGCGAAAACUUUACAAUGCUGGCAACAGCGAUAAGGGAACCUCGAGUGCCAGGUUACAAAUCUGACUGUCGAGAUGCCUAAAAAGCAUUUCAUAGCAAGGGCCGGGCAAGACCGGUGCCAGCCGCCGCGGUAACACCGGCGGCUCGAGUGGUAACCGUUAUUAUUGGGUCUAAAGGUCUGUAGCCGGCCGGAUAAGUCUCUUGGGAAAUCUGGCAGCUCAACUGUCAGGCUUUCAGGAGAUACUGUCUGGCUCGAGGCCGGGAGAGGUGAGAGGUACUUCAGGGGUAGGGGUGAAAUCUUGUAAUCCUUGAAGGACCACCAGUGGCGAAGGCGUCUCACCAGAACGGACCUGACGGCAAGGGACGAAAGCUAGGGGCACGAACCGGAUUAGAUACCCGGGUAGUCCUAGCCGUAAACGAUACUCGCUAGGUGUCGGCCACGGUGCGACCGUGGUCGGUGCCGUAGGGAAGCCGUGAAGCGAGCCACCUGGGAAGUACGGCCGCAAGGCUGAAACUUAAAGGAAUUGGCGGGGGAGCACCACAACGGGUGGAGCUUGCGGUUUAAUUGGAUUCAACGCCGG
rnacentral:rRNA from 1 species